AUACGUAGGUGGCAAGCGUUGUCCGGAUUUACUGGGUGUAAAGGGCGUGCAGCCGGGUCUGCAAGUCAGAUGUGAAAUCCGUGGGCUCAACCCACGAACUGCAUUUGAAACUGUGGAUCUUGAGUAUCGGAGAGGUAAUCGGAAUUCCUAGUGUAGCGGUGAAAUGCGUAGAUAUUAGGAAGAACACCAGUGGCGAAGGCGGAUUACUGGACGACAACUGACGGUGAGGCGCGAAAGCGUGGGGAGC
rnacentral:rRNA from 1 species